rnacentral:rRNA from 1 species
GAUGAACGCUAGCGACAGGCUUAACACAUGCAAGUCGGGGGGCAGCGCAGCGGGGUAACUCGCGGGCGGCGACCGGCGCACGGGUGAGUAACGCGUAUGCAAACCUGCCCAUAGCAGCGGGAUAACCGGGAGAAAUUCCGACUAAUACCGCAUAUAUCUGUUUGUUGCAUGACAGACGGAGGAAAGGAGACGGCUAUGGAUGGGCAUGCGAGGCAUUAGGUAGUUGGCGGGGUAACGGCCCACCAAGCCGACGAUGCCUAGGGGUUCUGAGAGGAAGGUCCCCCACAUUGGUACUGAGACACGGACCAAACUCCUACGGGAGGCAGCAGUGAGGAAUAUUGGUCAAUGGGCGCAAGCCUGAACCAGCCAAAGUCGCGUGAAGGAAGACGGCCCUAUGGGUUGUAAAACUUCUUUAGGGUGGGAAACAAAAGGGACGCCACGCGUGGCGAGAUGAGUGUACCACCAGAAUAAGC